AUUGACAUGUCCAACCCCGUCCCAAACGCAUUUGUAUAAAUAACAAUAUACAUUUUGGCAUAGCGUCACAUCUCAGCAGGCUGCCGCUUGUAUCUAGUGCCAGUGAAGAGAGUCAGACGUUUCAGAAAUGUUCAAAUUUAUCGUGUUGGUUUCCGCGAUUGUCGCGGCGGUCGUGUCAAAACCCGCCCCCAAACCGGACGUUCUUGUAGAUCCGUUCGCCGCACCUGGAUUCGUCUACCCCUCCGUUUACAGCGCGCCACUGACCUACGCCGAUUACGUGGUGCCUUCCGCGUAUGCAGAUUACGUGUAUGCGCCUCACGUGGCAGAGUCUUACCUGGUGGUUUAAAAAUAAUAAGCGCACCACCACAUUGUCUACCACCACGUGCGGUGUACCUUUUUAUCGUAUAAAAUCCUUAUGGAAAA